rnacentral:rRNA from 1 species
AUUGAACGCUGGCGGCAGGCCUAACACAUGCAAGUCGAACGAGUGGCGGACGGGUGAGUAAUGUCUGGGAAACUGCCCGAUGGAGGGGGAUAACUACUGGAAACGGUAGCUAAUACCGCCUACCAUCGGAUGUGCCCAGAUGGGAUUAGCUAGUAGGUGGGGUAACGGCUGACCUAGGCGACGAUGCCUAGCCGGUCUAAGAGGAGGACCGGCCACACGGGAAAUGAGAGACGGUCCAGACUCCUACGGGAGGCAGGAGUUGGGAAUAUUGGACAAUGGACGCAAGCCUGAUGCAGCAAUGCCGCGUGUAUGAAGAAGGUCUUAGGAUUGUAAAGUACUUUCAGCAGGGAGGCGGUACCCGCCGAAAAAGCAACGGCUAACUCCGUGCCAGCAGCCGCGGUAAUAC